rnacentral:rRNA from 1 species
UAAAGCAAAGAAGAGCGCAGAGUGAAUGCCUUGGCAUUGAGAGCCGAAGAAGGACGUGGUUAACUGCGAUAAGCAGCGGGGAGUUGUAAGCAAGCAUUGAUCCGCUGAUUUCCGAAUGGAGCAAUCCGCAUGAAGUAGUUCAUGCAUCCAUAUGUAAAUCAAUAGCAUAUGGAGGGGAACCGCCUGAACUGAAACAUCUAAGUAGGGCGAGGAAGAGAAAUCAACCGAGAUUCCGUAAGUAGUGGCGAGCGAACGCGGAAGAGGCCAAACCGAGAGAAGAAAUUCUUUCGGGGUUCGGACUGCAUUUAGCAUUCCUGAUCUUUAGUCGAACAGUCUGGGAAGGCUGACGAGAGAGUGUGAGAGUCACGUAGACGAAAAGGAGAAGGAGCGAGCAGGAUCCAGAGUACCGCGGGGCACGUGAAAUCCCGUGGGAAGAUGGGGGGACCACCCUCCAAGCCUAAAUACUACUCAAUGACCGAUAGCGUAUAGUACUGUGAAGGAACGGUGAAAAGAACCCCGGGAGGGGAGUGAAAAGAACCUGAAACUCUGUGCUUACAAGCACAUAGAGCACGUCAAUGUGUGAUAUGGUACCUUUUGUAGAAUGGUCCGGCGAGUUAUGGUAUGCAGCAUGGUUAAGGACUUGAGGUCUGAAGCCGAAGCGAGAGCGAGUCUGACAAGGGCGAUAAGUUGUAUGCCAUAGACCCGAAACCGGGUGACCUAGCCAUGUCCAGGCUGAAGUGGAGGUAAAACUCCAUGGAGGGCCGAACCGACCUCCGUUGAAAAGGCGGCGGAUGAGAUGUGGCUAGCGGAGAAAUUCCAAUCGAACCCGGAUAUAGCUGGUUCUCCCCGAAAUAGCUUUAGGGCUAGCGUUGUAUUAGAUUACCGGAGGUAAAGCACUGAAUGGGCUAGGGGCUGAGAAGUUACUGAACCCUAUCAAACUAAGAAUGCCGGAUAAUUGAUGUACAGCAGUCAGACUAUGUGAGAUAAGUCUCAUAGUCAAAAGGGAAACAGCCCAGACCCACAGCUAAGGUCCCAAAAUGGAUUUAAGUGGAAAAGGAUGUGGAAUUGCACAGACAACCAGGAUGUUGGCUUAGAAGCAGCCACUCAUUAAAAGAGUGCGUAAUAGCUCACUGGUCGAGUGACUCUGCGCCGAAAAUUUAACGGGGCUAAACUAUACACCGAAGCUUGGGAUACAUCUAAUGUAUGGUAGGAGAGCGUUCUGUAUGGGGAGAAGUCGUAGCGAAAGCGGCGGUGGACUAUACAGAAGUGAGAAUGCCGGAAUAAGUAGCGAGAAUUAAGUGAGAAUCUUAAUGGCCGAAAGUCUAAGGUUUUUGGAGGAAGGUUCGUCCGCUCCAAGUAAGUCGGGAGCUAAGGUCAGGCCGAAAGGCGUAGCCGAUGCACAUACGGUUGAUAUUCCGUAACCAUCUGUAAUUUAAGCAAAGGGACACUUCAAAAGGGUGUGACCCGGGCGUUGGUUGACCCGGGCGUAAGGGACCGAAAUUAGAGUAGGGAAGCACACUUAGCUGAAGGCGAGAAAAGCUUUGCGUAUAGAAGCAGAUGCCCGUACCGCAAACCGACACAGGUGGACAGGAAGAGAAUUCUAAGGCCAGCGGGAGAAGGGUAGUUAAGGAACUCGGCAAAUUGACUCCGUAACUUCGGAAUAAGGAGUGCUCGAAAGAGCCGCAGAGAAUAGGCCCAGGCGACUGUUUAGCAAAAACACAGGUCUCUGCCAAAUCGAAAGAUGAAGUAUAGGGGCUGACACCUGCCCGGUGCCGGAAGGUUAAGAGGAGGAGUGAGAGCUCCGAAUUGAAGCCCCGGUAAACGGCGGCCGUAACUAUAACGGUCCUAAGGUAGCGAAAUUCCUUGUCGGGU